GCCACAUGAGUGUAGCCUCUUGGUAACAAACUGCUGUGCAGCCUGACAUCACCACUUGCUGCAGGAGAGGAGGCUGAGCGCAGAGUCUGCCCUGAGUGGUAACUCUGUCCCGUCGGCAAGCACAGCCUCCGAUGGUGAACCUGAGACCCUCCCGGCUGAGGUACAAGGGCUAGGCCAGCAAGAGGCCAUGCCUGGUCAGGAAGAGUAUCCAGAGGAAGACUAUAAUGAGGUCUUUCCAUGUGGUUAAGUUUCCAUUUGCAUUACCAUGUGUGUCUGGGAAGAGCAGCAUCUUUUGAUCUUGGCAGUGAAUCUUCUAUGUACAUGUACAGCAGAGAACAGCCCACAGUGCACUUUGCAGAGGACACACUGAUCCCUAGGGAAGAUGGUGAAGGUGAAGAGGGACAGCCCGAGGCUCCC
rnacentral:lncRNA from 1 species